GCCACACUCAGUGCAGAGUCAGAAGGUUACUCCCUUAACAAGCAGUAGAUCAAGAGGGACAGAUCAUAGGUGGGAGAUGGAGGAAUCUGGAAAUAAUUCAAACUUCUGGAAAUGGGAGAAGACAGGCAACGCCAGAUGACUUCUCUAAAGAGCGUACAUUGCUGGCGGUGUGUAUGGGUUCCGGUUGCUCUGUGUGAGCUUCAACCCACUGUUGUCAGAAGUUUCCCAAGCCGGGUAAAAUUUAGCCUCUUUUAUAUUUUCUUCUUGAUUAUUAAUUAAAUUGAUUA
rnacentral:lncRNA from 1 species